rnacentral:rRNA from 1 species
AGGACUAACGCUGGCGGCGUGCCUAACACAUGCAAGUCGAACGGACACCACUUUGUAGCAAUACAGAUGAAGUGUUAGUGGCAGACGGGUGAGUAACACGUAGUCAACCUGCCUUACCGUCCGGGAUAACUAGCCGAAAGGUUAGCUAAUACCUGAUACGAUCGUCGAGCGGCAUCGCUUGACGAUGAAAGCAGCAAUGCGCGGUUAGAGGGGGCUGCGGCCCAUUAGCUAGUUGGUGAGGUAAUGGCCCACCAAGGCAACGAUGGGUAGCUGGUCUGAGAGGACGACCAGCCACACUGGGACUGAGACACGGCCCAGACUCCUACGGGAGGCAGCAGUGAGGAAUUUUCCGCAAUGGGCGAAAGCCUGACGGAGCGACGCCGCGUGCACGAGGAAGGCCUUCGGGUCGUAAACUGCUUUUCUGUGGGAAGAGAACGGACGGUACCACAGGAAGAAGCCCCGGCUAACUACGUGCCAGCAGCCGC